ensembl:lncRNA
GCAGAGGGCGGCGUCAGAGGGGCACGGCUGCUUCCCGUGGGGAUGUCCCCUCCGAGCUGGAGUGUCCCCUCCGGGCAGAGGGCUGCGGCAGAACAAGGAUUAACCCGGGAAAACGCAAUCCCAAAGAUCCUGGUGGCCUCGGGAGGGACACUCCUCGGGAGAUCCCAGCAGGUGCGUCCCCACUCUGUCACACACCUGUGGCCUCGGCUCCUCCUGAGGUCCCACGCUGUGUCCAGGGGCAGAGCCACAAAGCCAGCCGGCCCCGAGAGUGGCACUGGGGACCCCGGUGUGCCCACUUUGGUGGCACUUUGGUGUGGCCGCGAGUUGUCUUUGUUUUCCUGGCGAGGCGGCUCCUCCUGACCCGUAUAUCCUUCCCAGCACUCGGAAUGCAGCCCAGCAGAGAGCAGCCCAGCAGAGAGCAGCCCAGCAGAGGAGCCCCGAUGCCACGGGGCGCUGCCAGCCGUCCCCUCAGGUGGCACCGCUGCCCUGAGCCCCGGUGCCACCCCCUGCAGCAGCCGGGGAGGGGCGCAGGCAGGACAAACCCCGCCAUCCCUCGCUCAGAUGCUCGUCUGCAGGUCGCCGUUGAGCAGGGUCCUCUGCGUCUCCGUGGUCUCGUUGAGGCGGGACUUGUCCUGCUUGCUGUCGCUGCGGUCGGCCUCGUCCAUGCCGCUGACCUUGACCAGGCACAGCACGUUCUGAAAGCUCUUCUUGAAGUUGUCGGAGAGGAAGGCGUAGAGGAUGGGGUUGGCACAGCUGUUGGCGUAGCUCAGCACCACCACGAAGUCGAACAUGCCCUUGAGGACGGGCGUGGGCACGAUCAUGACGGACACGGAGGAGACGUUGAAGAUGUAGAAGGGGAGCCAGCAGAAGAUGAAGACGGCCACCACGAUGGACACCAUCCUGGUGACUUUCUUCUCGGACUUUUUCCUCUUGGACGAGCCCACCCUGAUGCCCGAGGACUUGACUUUGAUGAUGAUGAACAGGUAGCAAAGGCAGAUGAUGGUGAGAGGCACCAGGAAGCCCAGGAUGAAGGCGUAGAUGAUGAACCCCGUGUACCAGGCGCCCGACUCUCCCGGCCAGAUGAUGGUGCAGCUACUCCUGCCGUGGUUGUGCUGCACGCCGGCGUAAAUCAUGAUGGGCAUGAUCACCAGCAGGGAGACGCCCCAGACGGCCACGUUGAUCAUUUUGGCUGUCCUGGGCCGCCUCCACUUGGCGGAUUUGAUGGGAUGCACCACGGCCAGGUAGCGGUCGACGCUCAUCACCGUCAGGCAGAAGAUGCUGGUGAACUGGUUGAUGCCGUCCACGGUCAUGACGAUCCUGCAGAGGGCUUUGCCGAAGGGCCAGUGCACCAGGGCCACCUGCAUGGCCAGGAAGGGCAGGCCCAGCAUGAAGAGCUCGUCGGCGAUGGCCAGGUUGAGGAUGUAGAUGUUGGUGAUGGUUUUCAUCUUGGCGUAGCGCAGGAUGACGUAGAUGACCAGCGUGUUGCCGCACAGCCCCACGAUGCACACCACGAAGUAGAUGAAGCUGCUCCUCAAGAGUCCCUGUGGAAAAACAGAGCCCUCGACCCCUGUCCUGGAAAUGAGUGUUGUAAGGAGCUGGGCUGGGAUGCCAACGGAGGGGCAGGGUGAGCUGGCCUUUCUCCUGGAUCCGGGGUGGGAUGGAAUGAAGGGGGC